UGGGGAAUUUUGCGCAAUGGGCGAAAGCCUGACGCAGCGACGCCGCGUGUGCGAUGAAGGCCUUUGGGUCGUAAAGCACUGUCGACAGGGAAGAAAGCUCGUCGGAUAACACCCGGCGAGGUUGACGGUACCUGUAAAGGAAGCACCGGCUAACUCUGUGCCAGCAGCCGCGGUAAUACAGAGGGUGCAAACGUUGCUCGGAUUUACUGGGCGUAAAGGGCGCGUAGGCGGCAUGACAAGUCACUUGUGAAAUCUCUGGGCUUAACCCAGAACGGCCAAGUGAUACUGUCGCGCUAGAGUGCAGAAGGGGCAAUCGGAAUUCUUGGUGUAGCGGUGAAAUGCGUAGAUAUCAAGAGGAACACCUGAGGUGAAGACGGGUUGCUGGGCUGACACUGACGCUGAGGCGCGAAAGCCAGGGGAGCAAACGGGAUUAGAUACCCUUGUAGUCCCUGAGCGGGCUGGCAAGGCGCAU
rnacentral:rRNA from 1 species